rnacentral:rRNA from 1 species
GGCUAAAAAGCUCGUAGUUGGAUUUCUAGAUGAGAGGAGGGGUCCACUCUACGAGUGUGUAUCUUCUUCCGCUCGUCUAUCCGCUCAGCAUGCGUUGCUGCGCUUGAUUGCGUGGCGCGUGGGUUGGGCCUUCUACUUUGAGGAAAUUAGAGUGUUCACGGCAGGCUUGCGCCCUGAAUAUAUUAGCAUGGAAUGAUAACAUAGGAUCUUGGUCCUACUUUGUUGGUUUCUAGGACUAGGAUAAUGAUUAAUAGGGACAAUUGGGGGCAUUCGUAUCGCGGUGCUAGAGGUGGAAUUCUUAGAUUUCCGCGCGACGAACUACCGCGAAAGCAUUUGCCAAGGAUGUUUUCAUUGAUCAAGAACGAAAGUAAGGGGAUCGAAGACGAUUAGAUACCGUCGUAGUCUUUACCAUAAACUAUGCCAACUAGAGAUGGGACGUCGUUCUUACAUGACUCGUUCCGCACCCUUAUGAGAAAU